CACAGACAGGAUGAAGCAGACAACUUCAUAGUCGAGUACCAGCCUGGAUCAAACAGAUAUUGGGAAAUCAGAGAUGCAGAUGUGAACCAAGAAAGUGACUCCACUCAAAAUAGUGUUUUGGCAGAACAGCUUCAGGAAGUACACACCAGUGAGACACACGAUGACCUUUCGUCCGAUGACGCUCCUGAAGACAACCCGCCAUACACUCACCUAGUGCAUGACAUCUGCAUCGAUGAUCAAAGAGCUGAUAUCAAAUAUAUAACACCAGCUGAGGAAAAGGAUCAGCCUCCAUCCCCUUCACUAUAAUAUAUAUUCGGAACAUUCGGAAUAACCAAAUACAUUCAAAUGUCAAGAUCACUUUGAAGGUCAUUCACUCAUGAAACUUACUGCAGCAGUAUCAUUUAAAUUUGACGAAACGUAAUACACAGAUCCCUAGAUUAUUAUCAAAAUGUCCUAGAUCACCUCCAUUUAGAACCGAAGUGUAUGUUGGUUAUUUGGUUUAUAUGCGAUUAAUUUUCUUUGCUGUAGGAUAGUUGUUGUUUCUGUGUUGGUUGUGUUUGCUGUAAGUUUGCUUUACGUGCCAAAAAGCAGGGGAUUGUGGAAAUCAUCAAGUCAGUGAGUGAGUGAGUAUAGUUUUACUCCGCUUUUAGCAACGCGAACGCUUUAACCAUUAGUCUACCCGACCGCCGCCAGGACAUCAUCAAGACAUUGGUAGAUGGAAAUGAUAUGACCCUGGGGAGUAGGUGAUCAGAACGACUUCGUUCUCAUGGCUAGUGUGAUGAGAUGGUGGCAUAUUUCAUUAAACAGGUGUCAAAUUCGUAAUUUGCAUUUUUUAGCCAACUAAUAUGAGGUAAAACCACCUCUGAUGACCGGACAUGCACGAAUUCAUCGAUGCAUGCUUCUUAUGAGCCGACUAAUGUCAGCCUGACUCAGGUUGUGAUAGCAACACUGACGUUUACUGAGCAAUGCUGACGGUAACGCCCAUAAAACGCUCAUUAGGACGUCUCAAAGCUCGAUUCCUUCAGUUGUGGAAGAAAACAUGACAUCAGUCCAAGUCGUUUGUCUCAGUGCUGACGUUCCGUACACCACUGACGCAUCUUAUUCAAAUGACGUGCAGUACGUUGUGGGAUGACACUGACAUGUGGACAUGGACGUGCACGCAAAUGCCUUCUGUGCAGACGAUUGCACACCGUCUGGGCAUGUACUCUUACACCAACUGCCUGUUGCAACCGGUCACUUGUCUGAGUGGCAGUUUUGACUACUAGUCGGCCCUAGGCUGGAGUCGCUACCCUCGGCGUCGGUGUCGAGCAUCGACGUUAUGUGAUUGUUGGAAUCAGGCCCACAAUCUUAUGAUAACCGAUUGAGAAACUUGCAGCGUUUGGGCAACAAUAUGUGUGCCCAUCUGUAAUAUGCCAAUGACACGUGAACAUUCAGCACGUAGCAAACGUCGCACGUGCUAUCCGAUGUCACGUGCUUCAUGACUGUCACAAUGGUGUGUUAUAGGUGACUUGAUUUCUUCGGAAAGCCCUAUUGUCCUAUUGUCAAACUCUCACAGGCUAACAUUUCAAUACAUAUGCUGGCUUUAACGCAUGUACAUUUAGUGUACAAACAUACCUUGCAGUGAUUGCACGAGGAGCAGGAUAUCAGGGAGUCCUUCAAAACGCUACAGCGAAAAGAGCAGAUGUACUGAUGUUUAUCUUACUAUAUAUCAUACUCGUGCUGGAUGUCAGAGGUGACCCAAUAUGUCCACGUGGCAGAUAUGGAGAUACAUGUGACAAAAACUGUUCUAAACACUGUAGUAUAUCACCUAGCCUGGACAUUAUACACUGUGACAGGGGCAGUGGACGUUGUUCGGAAGGAUGUAUUCCAGGCUGGUAUGAUGAUACAUGCAAUAAAGAAUGCAACACGAAAUGUAUCAACAACACCUGCAAUCACGGAGAUGGAGCGUGUACAAGAGGCUGUAAAGAUGGCGAAAAGGGGAACUUUUGUGAAAUUUCAGGGGGAGAACAUGAAACCAAGGGGAAUGACAGCACAACACCUCUGUGGGAGAUACUCGUUCCGGUUAUUGGCUUCAUUUUUCUGUUGCUAGUCUUCAUGGUUCUAAUCGGUAUCUUACGGUGUGGAAAGGGAAGACUAUAUGGCAGGGUCACUCAAACGGCCGCUAACUGACACCCAACUCUAAUUUAGGCCAAUGCUGACGGGAAUCUGGACCACGCGAAAGAGAUCGUGAAUGAUGGUUUGUAUGGAUUGACACCGCUGAUGUUGGCAGCACAGAACGGACGCUACGAUGUCUUUGAAUAUAUCCAAAGAAAAGGAGGUGAUAUGACGCUAAGGGAUGGUUUAAACAUAUUUAUUUUCACAAAAGUGUGAAAAUGGAUAGGUAAACAAGCGAAGCACUUAUGUUAGUACCGCUCCAUUGCACAUAGGACAUAUGACAAUAAAUACAUAAAUGAAGGUUAGAUGUAACAAAUAAAUUGUACAUGCCAAGCUGUGUACAUAUGUACAUAUAAUAAAUCUAUUUGCAGUUUAUUUUAAACAAUCAUUUAACUGAAAAUCUGCCAGUUUUUAAUAUAAAGUGUUGAAUAGAAUCUAAUGUUAGCAUUUGCUCUUCCUUACUCAAAUCCGAAUUUCCGCAUAGCACUGUUUGUAAAGAAUAACCGUGUUUGUAAAAAUAGUAAGAGCAUAGUAAUUUGUACACAAAAAAAGAAGUGUAGAGCAUCUUCGGUAUGAUAUCCACAGGAACAAGUUUUUGUAUCAAAGAUAUGUCUAUUAUACUGAUCUGCGUUAAGAUCGCUGCAGCCAAGCCUGAGGCGACUGUGAAUAAUUUGGCAUAAUAUGCUUCCAUAAUUUAAAUCCCAGUGUAUACCAUUAUCUCCCUUUACGUGAAGCAAAUUCUUAAAUUGUGUAAGCUUGCUCCGACGUUCAUACAAUGUUUGGCCCUCACUCUAUGAAGGUUCAUACUCCAAUGAAUUCACACAAAGUGGAAGUCAAUUAUUAUGAUUUGUUUAUUACAAUUUCUUACCUCAAAGGAUGUAGGCCAAGAUCUAAACACAAUUUUAUUUAGUAUGUGUGACUUCAUGUUUACACUGACAGCCAUACAACAACCAGCUGUAUUGCGGGGUCAAAUAGUUCCUAAAAAAAAGAGAGGUGACAUGGGCGUAUGGAUGCAUAACUUUACGUCAUUUCAAGAACACGGUCUCGUGAAAAACGUAUGAACGUCAAAUUGCGUCAUGUGACCGACCUCUCGUCCAAUGGAAAAGCCGUAUAUCGUGUAAACUUCAAAUAAAAAAAAAUAUUUUGUAAAACAUUACCAGUUUUAAGUUGUAUCUUCUGUCUUUUAAUGAUUAUAAAAUAUUCGCAUGAACUCAACUAUCAUAAUAAUACACAUAACUCUAGCACUUGGCCCGGGAGACGGGUUUUGCAAGUACAACUUAAUUUGCCAGAACUGACAGUUUUGCAUUGAACGUAAUGUUUAUGACUACCAUUUCUAAGUUAUGUGCACACUUUAAAUCGUCCCAGGUGAGCUACAUUGACUGUUCUCAUGUUUCGAGCAAAUGAUAUCUAACGAUAUAUUUGUUGUAUUAACAUCACAUUAAAAUCCUUUUCAAAUGUAAAUAUUCUUUCUUCCUCAAACGGAGAGGCGACAUUCAGGUAAAUGUUUUGUAUGGUUUAAAUCAUGUUCAUGAUCAAGAAUGAGCUGAAUGUGAUCCGUAUGUGCAAUACUGUCCUUCACCGCUCACGAAAUCUACGUCAGAGUAGCUGAACAUACUAUGAACCCGCAUUAGCGUCAUCGUGUCUUUGAGCCAGUCCUCAAGCGUGCUUGUUUGUCACGCGUCACCUGAGUUUUGACUUACUAGCUUGUACUUGUGUCAUUGACAUUUCAACGUGGACUGUGUCUACAUGAGAUGUCUACCUGUAAAUGGUUUUUAUGGUUACUGUUUACUGUGGUACCAUAUGCCCAUCUUCUGGCUACGCUCUCAUUACAAGUAAUGACACUAUUCAGAAUUGAUUCGUGACUGUUCUGAUGUUUUGUAUUGUUUUUAUUUCAUUACAUAUGUGUAGUAUUAUUAUAGCUGACAUGUGAACGUGUUUGGGACAUUAUCAUAAUGUGACAUUUCAACGUCUAUGUUUGACACGUUUGCUCCAUUUAUAUUGUUUAUUUGAUUUGGUUAUUUGGGUUCCUGUUGACAUCAAUCUAUCACCUAACUGAUAUUUGAUAUUUGAUAUACCGUAUAGUGUGUUUAACUUUUGUGUGUACAUUAACCUUUUAUUUAUUUGUAUUUUAGUAAUCUUUAUUUGUAUAUGUUAACGUUUUCGUCUCUCAUAACUCCAAUAGGAGUGGCUUAUUUAAAUAUUAUAUAUAUAUUUAUCAUAUAAUGGGCAGGUUUCUCGGCAGGAUAAAGCCAACGGAUAAAAACGAUAUCCGUUGG